AGCGAACGCUGGCGGCAUGCUUAACACAUGCAAGUCGCACGGGCAGCAAUGUCAGUGGCGGACGGGUGAGUAACGCGUAGGAACGUGUCCUGAGGUGGGGGACAACCCCGGGAAACUGGGGCUAAUACCGCAUAUGGGCUGAGGCCCAAAGCCGAGAGGCGCCUUUGGAGCGGCCUGCGUCCGAUUAGGUAGUUGGUGGGGUAAAGGCCUACCAAGCCUGCGAUCGGUAGCUGGUCUGAGAGGACGACCAGCCACACUGGGAAUGAGACACGGCCCAGACUCCGACGGGAAGCAGCAGUGGGGAAUAUUGGACAAUGGGCGAAAGCCUGAUCCAGCAAUGCCGCGUGGGUGAAGAAGGUCUUCGGAUCGUAAAGCCCUUUCGACGGGGACGAUGAUGACGGUACCCGUAGAAGAAGCCCCGGCUAACUUCGUG
rnacentral:rRNA from 1 species